CAAGUACUCAAGAUAGGUGCUGUUGAGUUGGGUUCAUCUGGCUUUCGAGAGCUACAAAAAGUGACGCACAGCAAGCUUCUGAAAAUUGAUAUAAGGAAAAAUGACGGUGGGAUUGAAUCGGCGAAAUUUUUGUCCAAGCUCAUUGAAUGCGCGCCGGAGCUUCUUGCAGUCGAUGCUGCAUACAAUAUUAUGCCUCCAGAAUCUCUCCCUGUCAUAUGCUCGGCAUUGCAAGCUGUGACAGGUAAUUUCAUUCCAUAAAUACCUUGUAAAUUCUUCUUUUGGCUGAUACGAAUGACUUCACCAUACACUUGCGACAUAGGUAAUCUUGUGCUCUUGAACUUGAGAGGACAUAAUUUCGACAAACUUGCCAAUGAUGCUAGCGUGCUUGUUGAUCUUGAGCGGGAUGGAAGACUUCGUAUGUAGACACCCCGAUGAUGAUGAUCGCCUGCCAAAUGUGACAAUUGGGUACUCUUGGAUUGCUGUUGAGAGUAUCAGAGACUACAUUUGGUCUUAUCAGUCAUCUCAAGCGGCAUCCUCGUUUUUAGGGCUGUGCAGAUAUUUUUCAACUUAACAGGCACCGGGUUUUUAUGGCCAAUACAAGAUUCGAGCAACUUUUUUUUUCGCCUUAUGGAGUAUGAUUAGUAGGACUAUCUGUGAGCUUUUGACCAUCUGCUGUGAUGCAGUUGGAGUAUCUUUGGCAAUUCUAACUCGUCCAAUUGCGCGAAUUCUGUAAGAUUUCUUGAUCGAGAACUGUCUGGCCUUCAGUGAACCCUUUGGAGUAUAGCCUAGUCGGAAUCUCUUUCUGCUCCUAACAAAGGUUAUUACAUUGCCCAACCCUCAAAUUUUUUUUAUAAGAAAAAAUCAGCCAACCUGUAAAUUCCCAUUGAUAUCUUUCUUUAUACUAUUCUGAAAUUAAUAAAAUAAAAUAAAUUGUCAAA